rnacentral:rRNA from 1 species
GAUGAACGCUAGCGGCAGGCCUAAUACAUGCAAGUCGAACGGUGUAGCAAUACACAGUGGCGCACGGGUGCGUAACACGUAUGCAACCUACCUUACAUUGGGGGAUAGCCUUUCAAAAGGGAGAUUAAUACCGCAUAAGACAGUAACUAGGCAUCUAGUAGCUGUUAAAGAUUUAUCGAUGUAAGCUGGGCAUGCGUCCAAUUAGUUAGUUGGUGAGGUAACGGCUCACCAAGACGAUGAUUGGUAGGGGAACUGAGAGGUCAAUCCCCCACACUGGCACUGAGAUACGGGCCAGACUCCUACGGGAGGCAGCAGUAGGGAAUAUUGGGCAAUGGGCGCAAGCCUGACCCAGCCAUGCCGCGUGCAGGAAGAAGGCGUUAUGCGUUGUAAACUGCUUUUAUACAGGAAGAAACGACCCUUGCGAGGGGCAUUGACGGUACUGUAUGAAUAAGCACCGGCUAACUCCGUGCCAGCAGCCGCCGUAAAAC